UUCAAAAGGAACGUGCAGUCAUGGCGUGCGUAAAUUAGACUUUGUCGAAUUAGUGUUCGGCAGCUUCAUCUGUGGAAGACUUUGACUUCAGGCGAACGCCGGACAAGUGUUUACGCCUGUGACAAUACGGAUAUAUGGACCCAUUGUGUGCGGAAUGCUGCCUGCCAAUUGUCAGCGAUGCAGCCGUUUGAAGCAACGCUGUUUCAUUGGUCACGGGUGAAUGGCACAGAUUCAUCAGCUGCGCAGCCCGAAACUUCACCAGUAUAUUGGUUGAGAAAAUACAGCACUGCAUGAAAGCCGAGCGGAGGAAAUCUUUGCACUGAAUGUGCACCCACGCAAAAGGAACCUCGGCGAAGACCCCAAACCCGCACUGACCCCGGAGAAGGUCAACGUCGUUGGAGCGACCCUUGCCCAUUGGGCCCGCUCAACAAAAAAUGAAGCGCUGGCGGCAGCAACCAACUUGACCAAUGUGCUGUCUGAAAAAAUCCAGGAUAGUGUGAAGGCUGAGCGCCAAAGA